rnacentral:rRNA from 1 species
UACAGAGGGUGCGAGCGUUGUCCGGAAUCACUGGGCGUAAAGGGUGAGUAGGUGGCGGGAUAAGUGUGUGGUGAAAGCUCGGGGCUCAACCCCGAGUCUGCCAUGCAAACUGUCUUGCUUGAGCGUAGUAGAGGCGGGUGGAAUUCCGGGUGUAGCGGUGGAAUGCGUAGAGAUCCGGAAGAACACCGGUGGCGAAGGCGGCCCGCUGGGCUACUGCUGACACUGAAUCACGACAGCGUGGGGAG